rfam:Acidobacteria bacterium 13_1_20CM_3_53_8 13_1_20cm_3_scaffold_23, whole genome shotgun sequence.
CCCAGCCCUGACGGGCUGGGCUUUAUGCUGUCGCCGUCUUCGACGGCU